CAACCGGAGGAAGGUGGGGAUGACGUCAAGUCCUCAUGGCCCUUAUGGUAGGGCUUCACACGUCAUACAAUGGUCGGUACAGAGGGUUGCCAAGCCGCGAGGUGGAGCCAAUCCCUUAAAGCCGAAUCGUAGUCCGGAUCGUAGUCUGCAACUCGACUACGUGAAGUCGGAAUCGCUAGUAAUCGCAGAUCAGCAUGCUGCGGUGAAUACGUUCCCGGGUCUU
rnacentral:rRNA from 1 species